AGUUUUUAGUACGUAAGCGCCAUAGAUGCCGAAUCGUGCAUGCUGUUACUAAGAACCGGUAGUAUCAUUUAAAGAUUUUCUU
rfam:Glossina morsitans morsitans, isolate Yale, WGS project CCAG01000000 data, contig: ctg10006972